rnacentral:rRNA from 1 species
GACGACGAGGUAGAUAGGUUGGGGGUGGAAGUGCAGUAAUGCAUGGAGCUGACCAAUACUAAUCGGUCGAGGGCUUAUCCUAA